AACGCACAUUGCGCUUCCCGGUAUUCCGAGGAGCAUGCUCGUUUCAGAAUCAUUAAAUUCUCAAAAACCAUACGGUUUUCGGACCGCAUGGGGCUUGGAUGUGAGCGGCAACUGUCCUUUGGGGCAGCCGCUUUAAUUUGAUUGUGUGUGUCACGGUAUCACUCCGGGAACACAAGAGCAACAGAUUUCUAUUUCUCUUGACAGUUCCCUGGAUGCGAUGUCCGAUGGUCAUGCACCCCAUCAAUGAUACAGGAUGCGUGUCUACUUUGACGCGUGUUCUGAUUACUUGGUCUGAAAUCGAGCAAGAAAACCCGCUGAACUUAA
rnacentral:misc_RNA from 1 species